rnacentral:rRNA from 1 species
GAUGAACGCUGGCGGCGUGCCUAAUACAUGCCAGUCGAGCGAACAGAUAAGGAGCUUGCUCCUUUGACGUUAGCGGCGGACGGGUGAGUAACACGUGGGUAACCUACCUAUAAGACUGGGAUAACUUUGGGAAACCGGAGCUAAUACCGGAUAACAUUUGGAACCGCAUGGUUCUAAAGUGAAAGAUGGUUUUGCUAUCACUUAUAGAUGGACCCGCGCCGUAUUAGCUAGUUGGUAAGGUAACGGCUUACCAAGGCGACGAUACGUAGCCGACCUGAGAGGGUGAUCGGCCACACUGGAACUGAGACACGGUCCAGACUCCUACGGGAGGCAGCAGUAGGGAAUCUUCCGCAAUGGGCGAAAGCCUGACGGAGCAACGCCGCGUGAGUGAUGAAGGGUUUCGGCUCGUAAAACUCUGUUAUUAGGGAAGAACAAAUGUGUAAGUAAUUGUGCACGUCUUGACGGUACCUAAUCAGAAAGCCACGGCUAACUACGUG